AUCUAUUUCUUAAAAUAUUUUCUUUAAAAAAAUCAUGUGUUGUAGAUAACACCAAGACUGAGGGCCCUGACAUUACUGCGGGCUCCAAAAUUGGGAAUGAUCCUGAUGUGCAUUAUGCCACCGUUGUUCAUAAUCAACAUCCAGCAGCCCAGCACAAGAACAAUAUUCCCGAAGAGAUUGUGACGUACAGUACCAUUUUAAUAAAGGAGAGCGUGCGACAAACGACUGAACCAGUAGAUGGAAGUGUGAUCUACAACACAAUACAAACGAAAACAGAAUAAGUGCUAAUUAGCAGAAAAGAUGGGAGGACAUUAAUCCUGCAAGUAUAGUCACACUGAUGAAGUUAUUCUGAUGUGCACUUCAUUAUAAUACAACCUUUUGGAUGAAUCAAUCAACCCAGCAGUCUGUAUUAGACAAGUGUGCAAUUGAGAGACUCUUAGUCACUUGUGUUAUUUUGUGCAAACCUGCACACAUACAGUUCAUCAAAUAAUAAAGAAAAAGCAAGAUGAAAAUGCUAUUUUUUCCCCAAAUGCAUGUGUUAAAAUCAAGAAUUUGGGAGGGCGAGAACUGCACGGUGGUACUGUGUUAAGACUCUAAAUUAAAGGUUUGAUGUGGAAAAUGUGUCACUUUCUGUUUGACACAGUGAGUAAGAGCAAAUAUUUUAAUAUGGACCAAAAGCAGAUCAGAGGCCACUAAAAUCGACCAAAUAUAGGAAGGUGCUUUGUGAGUAAAAUGCUUUAACUCACUUCAUCGUCUCUUGGUGCAGCUUUUCUAAUGAGAGUUGACAUCUUGCCAUUGAAGCCUAUCAUGAUCCAGGAAGGACAUUUAAUCAUUUCCAUUCCUCAUCCUCCUCCACACAUUGGCUUUAACGAGAUGCUUUAACAACAUCCUCUACAUAUUGCUACUAACAAUUAUUUGAAUUAUCAAUUAAUCAAAAAAACAAGUUUAUCCCAAGUCCAAGGUGAGAUAAAUGUCUUGUUUUGUCAAUACAAAACCCAAAGAUAUUCAAUUUAAUAUGAAAAACUUACUUUAACAAUUAAUCGAUUAUCAAAAUAGUUGCUGAUUUAUUUUUCUGUCGAUUGACUAAUUGUUGCAGCUCUAAUUAUUACUAUGUCUGAUUAAAACAUUUUAUUUUUUGUAUCAUUAAUUAAGUACAUGUAGUGUUCAAUCCAGUAGGACAAUCACAGACAUUGUUUGAGAUGUGAUAUGUGCCUGACUCAAUUACUGAAUGAAAGAAAUUAAAAUAAUUCUGAUUCUUUUGGUAAAUGUAAUGACAGAUGUGUGUUUCGAUUGUGUGUGUAAAUAGUUACCCUUCAUUAUUGUGCAAAUAAAAACUGAAAAUGAAAAAAUAUACAUCAUGAC
rnacentral:lncRNA from 1 species